rnacentral:misc_RNA from 1 species
AAGUCGUAACAAGGUUUCCGUAGGUGAACCUGCGGAAGGAUCAUUAACGAUUUGAAGGGGGAUCAUUCGUCUGUUGCUGGGCCUUCGGGUCACUGUGCACGAUGAGUGGUCUUCCGACUCAUCAAUCUUUACACCCUGUGAACCAUUGGUAGGGCUUGCGAAAGCGAGCUCUAUGUUUUUUUUACACACAACCAUAAUGUAUGUCACUAGAAUGUCUUUUUAUACUUUUCUCUUGGAACUAGUACGCUCGAAAGGGCCGAACGAUGCUGGAGUCAAGUUAAAAAAAUAAAUUAUACAA